AAGAAAUCAGGGACCCGGGAGCAUUGACAACACCCUGAAAUAUAGGGUUGGUGAAGAAUUCAAGACGGGACCGAAGGUGUAAAGUAUUUCAAAUCUGUCACGUGGAAUCGCAGGCAGCAAUAAAACCGUGGAGCCCAAGAGGCCAAGAUGGCAGAAGGAAGUGAGCGACGCCGCAGAGAAGGAAAGAGGUAAUGCGAAGAAAGAGGUCUACUCAGGAGCCUUCUUGCUGCAAAGAAAACUGCCACCACCAAGGAGCGUCCCCUCUGGUGGCCCCGGCCCAGCACUUCCAGGACUGUCCUCAAGGCACCGCCUCCUCCCGGCAUGCUCAGGGGUGCGGCCGGGGAGACAUUGCGGACUCUGAACCCCAGAGGGGUCCCAUUCUCCAUAACAGACCAGCCUCCUUACCCAGCGAGACCAGGGUGCCGUAGUUCUCCAGCAUCACCUCCCGGUACAGGCUUCUCUGUGCAGAGUCCAGGCGCAGCCACUCGUCCCGGCUGAAGACCACGGCCACGUCCCUGAACGUCACGGACUCCUGCAACGGCAAACCCACCCCUGCUCACCCGGGACCAACUUCUGCACCAUUCAGGACCGGGGAUGACGCGGGGGUGUGUGGCAGCCAAUCCAGAUGUCCCAGGAUUCUAAGUAUAUUUCAAAUGGGCUAUUUAUGUUACUUUUGGGACAUCCCCCCUUCCCCACCAUCGACAAUUACACAAAUAUUUACAAAUAUUUAUGGAGAACCCACCAUGUGCUGUGAGGGCAAAGAGAGGAGAAACGCAAAGUCCCCGCCAACAGGGAGUUUAAAUCUCAAGCUGGAAUCUGUCAAGUAACUGAGCACAGACAUCCACCUCCCUCUCACUCAAAUGCCAAAUUAAAGGGGGGAGGGGGAAUCAGAAUAUGCUUAGAGCGAUGCCAGAAAACUGUGGAAGAGCCAUUAGCAGAACAGAAAUAAAAAGGAAUUUCUGAGAUGUAAAGCAAAUAAUAAAAAUAGCAUGAAUUCGUGUU